AGCGAACGUUAGCGGCGGGCCUAACACAUGCAAGUCGAACGAGAAAACCUUCGGGUGAGUAAAGUGGCGCACGGGUGAGGAACGCGUAGGUAAUCUACCCUCUGGCGGGGGACAACACUCCGAAAGGAAUGCUAAUACCGCAUAAGACCACGCUUACUACGGUGAGAGUGGUAAAAGGCGCCUCAAAGCGUCACCAGAGGAUGAGCCUGCGUCCCAUCAGCUUGUUGGUGAGGUAAUGGCUUACCAAGGCUAAGACGGGUAGCUGGUCUGAGAGGAUGAUCAGCCACACUGGUACUGGAACACGGACCAGACUCCUACGGGAGGCAGCAGUGAGGAAUAUUGGGCAAUGGGCGAAAGCCUGACCCAGCCACGCCGCGUGUGUGAUGAAGGCCUUCGGGUCGUAAAGCACUGUGGGGAGAGACGAACAUGCGCAUGAGGAAAUGCUUGCGCACUGACGGUACCUCCUUAGCAAGCACCGGC
rnacentral:rRNA from 1 species